ensembl:lncRNA
GAUGUAUGUUAACAACAUUCUUAAGAUUGAUUCAAUACAUCGGUUGACAUGUUUCUACUGACUGUUACGGAACUUUUGGACAUUUCGUCAUGUUAUUGUGGAUGCGCUUUGUGACUUUGGAAAUGUUUACCAAACGCGCUAACCAAAGUAGCUAAUUGGACAUAAAUAAGACAUUAUUGAACAGAUCAAGCAUUUAUUGGGGACCUGGGAUUCCUAGGACUGCAUUCUGAUGAAGUUCAUCAAAGCCACCGCUUUGUCUUGGGUCGGCCUCUGGGAUAAGAUCGCAUGUCCAGCAUGGAGGUCCGAACAAAGGAUCCUCUUUGGGGAAGUCGUAUUCCUGGUCGUAAUGAUGACAGAUGCUGGCACUAAGACCGCACUGCAAGGCACUACAGAGGGUAGUGCGUAUGACGGUACAUCACUGGAGCAUCACUGCCAUCCAGGACCUCUACACCAGGAGGUGGCCGAGGAAGGCCC